rnacentral:rRNA from 1 species
GACGAACGCUGGCGGCGUGCUUAACACAUGCAAGUCGAACGGUGAACGAGGGAGCUUGCUCCCUCCGGAUCAGUGGCGAACGGGUGAGUAACACGUGCGCAAUCUGCCCCGAACUCUGGGAUAAGCGUUGGAAACGACGUCUAAUACCGGAUACGACGCGGGAGGGCAUCCUCUCCGCGUGGAAAGAACUUCGGUUCGGGAUGAGCUCGCGGCCUAUCAGCUUGUUGGUUAGGUAACGGCUCACCAAGGCGACGACGGGUAGCCGGCCUGAGAGGGUGACCGGCCACACUGGGACUGAGACACGGCCCAGACUCCUACGGGAGGCAGCAGUGGGGAAUAUUGCACAAUGGGCGCAAGCCUGAUGCAGCAACGCCGCGUGAGGGACGACGGCCUUCGGGUUGUAAACCUCUUUUAGCAGGGAAGAAGCGAAAGUGACGGUACCUGCAGAAAAAGCACCGGCUAACUACGUG